UACGAAGGGGGCUAGCGUUGCUCGGAAUCACUGGGCGUAAAGGGUGCGUAGGCGGGUCUUUUAAGUCAGGGGGUGAAAUCCUGGAGCUCAACUCCAGAACUGCCUUUGAUACUGAAGAUCUUGAGUCCGGGAGAGGUGAGUGGAACUGCGAGUGUAGAGGUGAAAUUCGUAGAUAUUCGGAAGAACACCAGUGGCGAAGGCGGCUCACUGGACCGGCAUUGACGCUGAGGUGCGAAAGCGUGGGGGAGCAAACAGG
rnacentral:rRNA from 1 species